GUCCUGGUUGAUUAAUGGUAACUCACCCGCACCGCUCACGGCGAAUUGAUGUGGGAGACGGAGGUUCGAAUCCUCCUUAGGGCA